rnacentral:lncRNA from 1 species
CUGUGGAAACUUCUCCCAAAACCUUAGCAUGACCAAAAGGAUGAUUUGUGUGGGUGAGUGGCCUUUUUACAUCCAUUUUCAUCAGUUCCAGAUUUUCUCCUGUAUCCAUCACAUUUAGAUCCAGAUCCCCACUGGCUUUUAGUGGGACCAGACUGUCUCUAUGUGAGCCUGAGCUCUUCCUGCUCUCGUUAGUACAUGAAAGUCUAAUUGUGCUGGGCAGCUCUGUCCUGGCAAGCAACUUUGAAAUUAUGUGUGAGAUGGAAGCAGACAUCAUUAAUUCUACUUUUUAGCAAGCAAUUGUCACCUUCUACAGGACUGAGGCAGGCAGAUUCCAGCAUACAGUGGAAAGGAAAUAGUGACUACAAGUGUUAACUGCAUUUAAAAUGUUUUAUUCCUACAUACACUUUUAUGGAUUUCAGAAGUGGGAUCAAUUUUCCCUUCCUGAAUUCUGAUACCGAUAAUUUUCUUUAUUUAUUUCUUUUCAAAUGAGAAUGCUACUGGCUUCCUUUGGCAUAUUUCUUGCUAAUAUGACUGCUCUGGUUAUUGCAGUGGUACCUUUCAUGUCCCUGACCACAAUACAAGAUGUUUCAUUUACUUAAAGCUUUCUUGAUGUUAUCGAACUGAGAGAAUUUACUUCAGUAGCCCUAGAAGCAAUUCCAGGAAUAAGACUUGAUCCUCCACUCAAUUAUCUGUCCACAUCCCAUCAAACAUCUGCAGCCAGGCUAAACAAAAUGUAAGGACAGCCAGGCCUCAGAUCAGCCAGCAAAUGUUAUCUUGGAAUUGACUUUUUUCC